AAGGUUAUAGCUCAGUGGUAGAGCACCUGCUUAGCAUGCAUGAAGUCCUGGGUUCAAUCCCCAGUACCUCCA
rnacentral:tRNA from 1 species